UACUAUGGUUAAGGAACUCGGCAAAUUGCCUCCGUAACUUCGGGAGAAGGAGGACCCCAGUAGCGUGAUGAGACUUGCUCUCUGAGCGUGAAGGGGUGGCACAAAAUUGAGGGAAGCGACUGUCUACCAAAAACACAGCAGCGUGCUAAGCCGUAAGGCGCUGUAUACACUGUGACUCCUGCCCGGUGCUGGAAGGUUACGGGGAUGGGUUAGUCCUUCGGGACGAAGCUCUGAACCUAAGCCCCAGUAAACGGCGGCCGUAACUAUAACGGUCCUAAGGUAGCGAAAUUCCUUGUCGGGUAAGUUCCGACCUGCACGAAUGGAGUAACGACUUCCCUACUGUCUCAACCAUAGACCCAGCGAAAUUGAAGUACGAGUAAAGAUGCUCGUUAGCUGCAGAAGGACGGAAAGACCCCGUGGACCUUUACUAUAACUUGAUGUUGUGUUUUGUCAUAUGUUGUGUAGGAUAGGUGGGAGACUUGGAAGCAUGGACGCUAGUCUGUGUGGAGUCAUCGUUGAAAUACCACCCUGCAUAUGGUGAGGCUCUAACCUAGACCCGUUAUCCGGGUUGGGGACAGCGUCAGGCGGGUAGUUUAACUGGGGCGGUUGCCUCCUAAAGAGUAACGGAGGCGCCCAAAGGUUCCCUCAGCCUGGUUGGCAAUCAGGCGUUGAGUGCAAUGGCAAAAGGGAGCUUGACUGCGAGGCCUACAAGUCGAGCAGGAGCGAAAGCUGGGCAUAGUGAUCCGGCGGUUGCGUGUGGAAGCGCCGUCGCUCAACGGAUAAAAGGUACCCCGGGGAUAACAGGCUAAUCUUGCCCAAGCGUCCAUAGCGACGGCAAGGUUUGGCACCUCGAUGUCGGCUCAUCGCAUCCUGGGGCUGAAGCAGGUCCCAAGGGUUGGGCUGUUCGCCCAUUAAAGCGGUACGCGAGCUGGGUUCAGAACGUCGUGAGACAGUUCGGUCCCUAUCCUCUGCAGCCGGAGGUGAAUUGAGGAAAGCUGUCCCUAGUACGAGAGGACCGGGACGGACGCAGCUCUCGUGUGCCAGUUGUCCUGCCAAGGGCAUGGCUGGUUAGCGACCUGCGGAAAGGAUAACCGCUGAAAGCAUCUAAGCGGGAAGCCUCUUCCAAGAUGAAUUCACCCACAGGGUUAACCUGGUAAGGCCCGUGGUAGACCACCUCGUUGAUAGGCCGGAAGUGUAAGCGUGGCAACACGUUCAGCUGACCGGUACUAAUCGGCCGAGGGCUUGAGCG
rnacentral:rRNA from 1 species